UGAGAGACACUGUUCAUUCUUGGGAC
rnacentral:piRNA from 1 species